CAGGCGUCUCGUAUUUAAGGAGGCGGCCGUGUUUGGCUCGCUCUCCUUCCGUUUCCGCUCCUCUCCGGUGGGUCUUGGAUAGCGUGGAAGAGCUACUUCUGUAUCCGCGGCGGAGUUUGGCGUGUUUGUGCAACAGCCAGCGCCUCCGCCGGGGGACCUUCGGGGUGCAGUGGCGGGUCUGCUUUGUGCUGUGGGCCUGAGGCGGCGACCCAAUUCCUGGUGGCGGGUGUUUCUUCACAACCCGUUUUGUUGGUUUGCUGUGUCACGGGUGGCGAGUUUAUUAAUCCUUCCCCUUUUUCUUUGGUUGUCGUCAUCGUGGCCAAGGACCCCCAAACUGAUGGAGAGAUGGAUCAGGGACCC